GAGUUUGAUCAUGGCUCAGAACGAACGCUGGCGGCGUGCUUAACACAUGCAAGUCGAACGAGAACCAGAGCUUGCUCUGGUGAAAGCGGCGCACGGGUGAGUAACGCGUGGAUAACCUACCCUGGUGUCCGGGAUAACAUCUUGAAAAGGGUGCUAAUACCGGAUAAGCCCACGGGAUCUUCGGAUUCUGCGGGAAAAGGUGGCCUCUAUUUAUAAGCUACCGUAUCAGGAUGGGUCCGCGUACCAUUAGCUAGUUGGUGGUGUAAUGGACCACCAAGGCGACGAUGGUUAGCUGGUCUGAGAGGAUGAUCAGCCACACUGGAACUGAGACACGGUCCAGACUCCUACGGGAGGCAGCAGUGGGGAAUUUUGCGCAAUGGGGGAAACCCUGACGCAGCAACGCCGCGUGAGUGAUGAAGGCUUUCGGGUCGUAAAGCUCUGUCAGUGGGGAAGAAAUGUAGGAGUAUUAAUACCACUUUUACUUGACGGUACCCACAAAGGGAGCACCGGCUAACUCCGUGCCAGCAGCCGCGGUAAUACGGGGGG
rnacentral:rRNA from 1 species